rnacentral:lncRNA from 1 species
AAUAUUUUAAUUAGGACGUAAAAUGGCAUUAUUAUAAUUUACAAUGCAGUAGUGAACGAAUGAUUCUGCCAGAUAGAUGUGACGGAAAAUUACAAAUCAAGACACUACACGGGUAAUCGGUCAAAUUCGGAUCUGAUUCUUUUACUUCGGAUCUCGUCUACAUCCCCAAUUCUUUUCCGAAUUUGUAUUAUGGCGAGAGAGCGAUUUUAGUCGAUAAGCAAACCUCGUAAGUCGUAAAUGAGGAACCCGAGAAACCAGUCUCCGAGGCGUAUGCUCUGUUUCCGGCGAAAAAGAAGUCAUGAUAAAUUAUUACACUUCACCCUGGAGGGGGGGUGCCGGGAAACUGACCAAAAAGGUAAGAAUCGUAUUUCGGUGUAAAUUAUUUCAGAUCGGACGGUUCUAAUUUAUUUUAAAGCUUUAUGAUGAAUUAUAGCCAUCGAUUUCAGAAUCUACGAAACUAAGAGCCUUUUGAAGCUUUUUGCUGCUGAACACUUCGACCUCCGCCAAGUACACCGCCGUCACGGGUCUAUGAUCCGAUAAACUCAACUCACUUCUUCCGUACUUCAAAAGUUUCAUGUCUUUACCAUAU